GGAAGGAUCAUUCCAUUUUGUUUGGCUCUGCCAAGCAACCCCAAACCGUGAUGCAAUCCAAAAACACUUGUUGUUUAUAAUGGAACAACUUUUAGCAACGGAUACCUUGGCUACCACUACGAUGAAGAACGCAGCGAAUCGCGAUAGGAAGUGCGAAUUGCAGAAUUCAGUGAAUCAUCGUAACUUUGAACGCAAACGGCGCUUCGGGGUCAACCCGGAGCAUGCCUCUCUGAGUGUCGGUCAAAUCCUCUGGUCUCCAGAAUAUGAGAGUCUGCGGUCUCUUUAAGAUUGAGUGUGUAAGUCGGAAAAUGGAUUGGUGUGUUUAGUGGAGCUGAAAGUUACAUGAGACCCCAAUGCAGUCCUUCUGAGCGAUCAGCUUUGCAAUUGUCUGACCAUCGACCUCAGAUGAGGUAAGAUUACCCGCUGAACUUAAGCAUAUCAUUAAGCGGAGGAAAAGAAACUAACCAGGAUUCCCUCAGUAGCGGCGAGCGAACCGGGAAGAGCUCAAACCUUAAUCGGCGGCAGUCUCUGUCGACCGAGUUGUGGUCUCGAGAGGCGUCCUCAGCGUGUGGCCCCGGUCUAAGUCUGUUGGAACACAGCCGUCACAGAGGGUGAGAACCCCGUCUGGGACUGGGAGUCCGCCGCGUACGAGGCGUUAUCUAAGAGUCGGGUUGCUUGGGAGUGCAGCCUUAAAUGGGUGGUAAAUUCCAUCUAAAGCUAAAUAUCAGUGGUAGACCGAUAGCGCACAAGUACCGUGAGGGAAAGGUGAAAAGGACUUUGAAAAGAGAGUCAAAAGUACUUGAAAUUGCUAAGAGAUUAAGGGAUAGGCACCAUUGUAUCGAAGCAGGGUAACCUAGCCAAGGACCAACUGAUCGCAUGUGCAGUCUGCUCGCCUAGCGGGGGCUGUUUAUGUUGGAGGUUGUCGCUGAGGUUGUAUUUCCCUGCGGGCUGUCAGAGUGGGUUUGGUUGGCGUGAAGAGGCUCGGGUGGAGGUAGAGUGGUGAUCGUUUUCGUGAUCCUCGAAUACGCUCGCUGCCGCAAGCGCCGACUAGACUGAGGAACGACUCUGACAAAAUGGUUCUUAUUCACCCGUCUUGAAACACGGACCAAGGAGUCUAACGUAUGUGCGAGUAUUAGGGUGGCAAACCCGAGUGCGAAAUGAAAGUAAAGGGCGCAAGCCCGAGAUGCCAGCCGAAAGGCAGCAGCAUCGCCCGGCUGGCUCGUUGUAGCCGGUUCGAGGACGAGCACAUCCGCUAGGACCCGAAAGAUGGUGAACUAUGCCUGAGCAGGGUGAAGCCAGGGGAAACUCUGGUGGAAGCUCGUAGCGAUACUGACGUGCAAAUCGUUCGUCAGACUUGGGUAUAGGGGCGAAAGACUAAUCGAACCAUCUAGUAGCUGGUUCCCUC
rnacentral:misc_RNA from 1 species